rnacentral:rRNA from 1 species
GACAGAGGUGCCAAGCGUUAGGCGGAAUCACUGGGCUUAAAGCGCGUGUAGGUGGCGGCCUUAAGUACCUUGUGAAAUCCUGCGGCUCAACCGCAGAACUGCUUGGUAUACUGGGUCGCUUGAGCCAUCCGAGGGGCAACUGGAACAAGCGGUGGAGCGGUGAAAUGCGUAGAUAUCGCUUGGAACGCCAAAGGUGAAAACAGGUUGCUGGGGAUGCGCUGACACUGAGACGCGAAAGCCAGGGGAGCGAACGGG